rnacentral:rRNA from 1 species
GGCGAAAGCCUGACCCAGCCACGCCGCGUGUGUGAUGAAGGCCUUCGGGUCGUAAAGCACUGUGGGAGAGACGAAACAGCGCAUGCAGGAAAUGCGUUGCGCCUUGACGGUACCUCCUUAGCAAGCACCGGCUAACUCUGUGCCAGCAGCCGCGGUAAUACAGAGGGUGCAAACGUUGCUCGGAUUUACUGGGCGUAAAGCGCGUGUAGGCGGACUCGCAAGUCGGUUGUGAAAUCCCUGGGCUCAACCUAGGAACUGCAUCCGAAACUGCUUGUCUUGAGUAAUGGAGAGGGUGGCGGAAUUCCCGGUGUAGAGGUGAAAUUCGUAGAUAUCGGGAGGAACAUCAGUGGCGAAGGCGGCCACCUGGACAUUUACUGACGCUGAGACGCGAAAGCGUGGGGAGCAAACAGGAUUAGAUACCCUGGUAGUCCACGCCGUAAACGAUGAGAACUAGGUGCAGCGGAUAUUGACCUCUGCUGUGCCGUAGCUAACGCGUUAAGUUCUCCGCCUGGGGA